UCUCUCUCAAUCAUCUUUUAACUUUUCAUCGUCUGAUUCAUUCCUCCUCAACGUCUCAUAUCCCAACUAUAUAUACUUCUCAAAUGGUAUAGUGUAUUCUCUGAAAAAACCAACUCUUUUCACGUUCUUUUCUUCCAACGCUUCUACCAAUAUCAAGCGAAAAAUGGGUAAACACAUGAUGAUCGCUUGCUUCCUCAUACUCUUGUGUACACUUGAAGUCAUCUGCUCAGAGCAAGUCAAAUUCACUUUGCUACACUCGGCUGUUCCAAAAGGAGCAGGUAAUUAUAUGAUACGUGAAUAUCUCCAAGAAUAUCACCAAAUCUCUCUUAGUUAGUUUAACAUUGAUUUAGCAUUAUCUUUCAUAUCUUUUGCUUAUUAUAAAUAGGGUUAUUGUGAUUCUCUUUAAUCAAUCAAUGAAAUAACAUAUCAUUUUCCUCAAUUUACCGUUUUCCCUAUUUCCUUGUUCUUUACGUUUCUGCAAAACCUUAAAUCGGAGCUGAUCUCAAGGAAAGCUUGAGACGUCCGCCGCUUAUUUCUCAUCGUCGAUCACUCGUCGACGUCGUUAUCUUGUUAAGGGGGUAAAUCCCUUUAACAAUUGGUGCUUUCAUUGUCGUCCUCAUGGCUCGUUACACCGAGUCGUCCUCCCUCGAUCAGAUUAAGGUGAUGUUCGAGCAUAUGCUGGCAGGUAUGGCUCGGCUAGAGACUCGCAUGGACGAGUAUUAUCGCCGCCAAUCCUCACGCCAUACGCUGCGACCGGAUCCGGAGCCACCGACUUAUAUAAGUAUUUUGUAAAUAUUGGAGUAAUAAUUUUUACUCAUUAAUUAGAUUAUUAUUUUAGUCUGUUUAGAUGGAACUCCACCAGCAUAUGCCUACAGUGAGGGAUUUGGAGAUGGAUCUACAAACUGGCUCGUUUUCUUGGAGGGCGGUGCAUGGUGUGAUUUCGAGAAAGAGACACAAGCUGUCAAAACAGGUCAAAAUCCUAUUUAGGAAGCACCGGCGAUGAAUUUUUUAAAAAAGAGACACCAUUUAACGGAAUACUUGACUCAGAUUGUCAAUUUAAUCCUGAUUUUUAUAACUGGCAUAAAGUUUAUGUUCACUACUGUGAUGGCUCGUUGUUUAUGUCGGACGUCGACCAAGUUGAUCCUACUAACAAGCUCACAUUCCGAGGUGGGAGGAUCUAUAAUGCUGUAAUGGAGGAGCUGCUCGACAAAGGAAUGAGGAAUGCUCAAAAUGCUAUCUUGACGGGAAUGUCAGCAGGUGGAUUAAGCACAAUCCUGCAUUGUGAUAGAUUUCGAGCUCUGUUUCCAAAUACUAUAAGAGUGAAGUGUAUAUCAGAUAGUGGAUUUUUUAUUCGCGGGGAAGGUGAAUUGGCAAACCAAUCAGGAGGCAUUUUGCUCAAGUGAUUGCUGCAAAUGGACUUGGUGCAUUAUUGCCUAAAUCAUGCACGUCUAAAAGGGACCCCAGUUUGUGUCUCUUCGCCGAGUAUCUGGUUGAAGAUGUUGCCACUCCACUCUUUAUAGUUGAAUCAGCUUUUGAUACAUACCAGAUUAAGAGCAACUUCAUAUUAACUGUUCCUGGUCUGGAUCCAACGCAAUGGGUUAGUUAGUUGUUCUGCAUAUAGCAUGGAACGGUGCACUGCUGCACAAAUAGGAAUCAUAAAAGAUUUUGGACCUAUUUUCAAGAAGACAUUAAUGAAACUCGAUAAGUCUUCGAGUAGAGGGAUAUUUUUGGAUUCAUGCUAUCUUCAUACGCAUAUCUUGCAAAGAUAUAAUUGGAUGACAUCACCAGUACUUCAAAAUAGAACUGUACGGGAAGCUAUUGGUGAUUGGUUCUAUGAUCGAAGUACAUUUCAAGAGAUAGAUAGUCUUAAUUUAUAUCCACAAUCAUGUACUCCUAAAUAAUUGAUCGGGUCUUAUUAUUUGAUUAUUCUUAUUAUGUAUAUGAUAGAGACUUAGCAAAGUAUAUUCCUUACAUUAUUGUAAUUGUAAUCUGCACUAGUAUAAUUAAUUUGAUUUUUGUCUUGUAAA